rnacentral:lncRNA from 1 species
AAGACCUCUUUUGAAAAUCUCUUGAAGUCUUUGCAGAGUUCUCUAAACAUGACCAGGAGGCCAAUCAUGAGGAGGAGUGAGAUGUUUUGAGGGAAAAUAGUCAAUAUACGUAAACUAAGUUCAAUACCAAUUCUUUGACUUGAAUAACGUUUUAUCAUCCCAGCAUUUUUGUCAGGUUAUCGCCGACCAGACUUCAUCUGGAAGCUCACGAAUGGCUUUGCAGCAUUGGUAAAGUCAGGUUCUCGUGGACUAACAACACUGUUUCUUGAUGUGAUUGUCCUCUGAAACUUCUCCUGAUUAUGCCUCGAGUUUUGAGUUGCCUUCUUUCUCUCACAUGAUCUCAUUCUUUUCAGGAUCAAGAUAUUUUAACUUCUGUGUUUAGCGCCUUUAAUAGAUUGAGCUAAGAAGUCUAAGCAAUCUUCAGGGCUAAGAAACAAGCUGCACUUGCCAGAGUUGGAUGUUCACACCUUGGUGAUGGCUGAUAUUAAACAGAAUUCUUAAUGAACAAAUCGGCCUUGAAAAGGGAACAUGGUGAAGCAAGACAAAAGAAUUACAAACUUUGACUGAAACUUUCUCCUACCAGGAAUACAGGGACCGCUCACCAGGUUGUGAUGAGAAGGAUCAUCUGAAAUGCUCCAUUGCUCUCAGAAGUUGAGGUAACUUCAUUGGGCCCAAACUGAUAAACUAGGAAUGGCUCAGAAAAUAGCCCCUUAGAAGAACUGUAUGAAGCUUGGAUCCAUUUUUCUGAGAAAAAAGAAAAAUCCCUCCAAUGAUUUGGUGAGGAGUUGAAGACAAAUAUCUUUAUUAUUUAUAAGUAUUCUGGCCAAGACAAUGAGUGUUGGAGUGGGAGGAUGAGGGAAUUUUAUGAUGAACGACAGCACAGCAAGAUGGACAGUAAGGCUCUGUCAUUGCCAUACCAGAUGUACAGAAGUGUUGAUGGUUGUUUCUAGUUUGGGGCUAUUAUGAAGAAAGCUGCUAUGAAGAACAUCCAUGUACAAAUCAUUUUAUGGACACACAUACUCAUUGCUCUUGGGUAAAUAUCUAGGAAUAUGAUUUAUGGAUCAUAG